GACGAACGCUGGCGGCGUGCUUAACACAUGCAAGUCGAACGCUGAAGCUUGGUGCUUGCACUGGGUGAAUGAGUGGCGAACGGGUGAGUAAUACGUGAGUAACCUGCCCUUGACUCUGGGAUAAGCCUGGGAAACUGGGUCUAAUACUGGAUACGACAUGUCACCGCAUGGUGGUGUGUGGAAAGGGUUUUACUGGUUUUGGAUGGGCUCACGGCCUAUCAGCUUGUUGGUGGGGUAAUGGCUCACCAAGGCGACGACGGGUAGCCGGCCUGAGAGGGUGACCGGCCACACUGGGACUGAGACACGGCCCAGACUCCUACGGGAGGCAGCAGUGGGGAAUAUUGCACAAUGGGCGAAAGCCUGAUGCAGCGACGCCGCGUGAGGGAUGACGGCCUUCGGGUUGUAAACCUCUUUCAGCACGGAAGAAGCGAAAGUGACGGUACGUGCAGAAGAAGCGCCGGCUAACUACGUG
rnacentral:rRNA from 1 species